GCCGGGGUGGCCGAGCGGUUCUAGGCGCUACAGCUUGGAACCGUGGUGCUGCUACGGUCGCAGGUUCGAAUCCUGCCUCGGGCA